GCGGGAGUCUCGCGCCAGCUGAGCGGCGGUCGGGCGGGGGGAGCGCGGCGGCCCAAGCUCGCUCGGCCACGCGCCCCGCCCCUCAGAGGCCGGCCUCCCGCACGCCCCGCGCAGCCUGCUGUGCCCGUGGGUCCCGAGUGCUCCGCCGCCCGCCCCGACCCGGGCCCAGCCGCCUCCACGGCCCGCGCUCGUACUGGAGCGAAGAGCGGCCUCCUGAAGGAGGGGAAGGAACGUGGGGGCGGCCACGGCAGCAAACUUUUAAGAACUCUGAGCAGAGGCCAGUAAUUUUGGAGACAGGACCUCGGCCCGAAAGUGAUAGAUGUCUUUGUUGUUGCUGAGUGUGGGCCAGGUGUAAGGAUUAACCUCCAUUUCAGCUAAUCAUGGGAGAGAUUAAAGUCUCUCCUGAUUAUAACUGGUUUAGAGGUACAGUUCCCCUUAAAAAGAUUAUUGUGGAUGAUGAUGACAGUAAGAUAUGGUCGCUCUAUGACGCGGGCCCCCGAAGUAUCAGGUGUCCUCUCAUAUUCCUGCCCCCUGUCAGUGGAACUGCAGAUGUCUUUUUCCGGCAGAUUUUGGCUCUGACUGGAUGGGGUUACCGGGUUAUCGCUUUGCAGUAUCCAGUGUAUUGGGACCAUCUCGAGUUCUGUGAUGGAUUCAGAAAACUUUUAGACCAUUUACAAUUGGAUAAAGUUCAUCUUUUUGGCGCUUCUUUGGGAGGCUUUUUGGCCCAGAAAUUUGCUGAAUACACUCACAAAUCUCCUAGAGUCCAUUCCCUAAUCCUCUGCAAUUCCUUCAGUGACACCUCUAUCUUCAACCAAACUUGGACUGCAAACAGCUUUUGGCUGAUGCCUGCAUUUAUGCUCAAAAAAAUAGUUCUUGGAAAUUUUUCAUCUGGCCCGGUGGACCCUAUGAUGGCUGAUGCCAUUGAUUUCAUGGUAGACAGGCUAGAAAGUUUGGGUCAGAGUGAACUGGCUUCAAGACUUACCUUGAAUUGUCAAAAUUCUUAUGUGGAACCUCAUAAAAUUCGGGACAUACCUGUAACCAUUAUGGAUGUGUUUGAUCAGAGUGCGCUUUCAACUGAAGCUAAAGAAGAAAUGUACAAGCUGUAUCCUAAUGCCCGAAGAGCUCAUCUGAAAACAGGAGGCAAUUUCCCAUACCUGUGCAGAAGUGCAGAGGUCAAUCUUUAUGUACAGAUACAUUUGCUGCAAUUCCAUGGAACCAAAUACGCGGCCAUUGACCCAUCAAUGGUCAGUGCCGAGGAGCUUGAGGUGCAGAAAGGCAGCCUUGGCAUCAGCCAGGAGGAGCAGUAGUGUGUCUCUCGCUGUCAAUGAUGAGUUGACCCGGUGUGUUCUUGUAUAGUCAGUGGCAUCAGCACCCGUCAGCCGGCCUUUUCCUUCAGAGUUUCGCUCUUGUUGCCCUGACGUGAUCUCGGCUCACCGCAACCUCCGCCUCCCGGGUUCAAGUGAUUCUUCUGCCUCAGCCUCCCAAGUAGCUGAGAUUACAGCCCCAUUUUCUUAGGUCCUGGCAUCACUGUUUCUUGGAAUCCCCAGUUAGAAACUCAGCCAUCUUGGACCCUCCACCCCCACUCACUCCUCCACCCCCAUGUCUCAGGCUGAAGCGGAUGCAGAGAUGAAAAUUUGGGCGCAAGAUGUUUAUUAAGGAUCAACAUCUGUGGCCUGGUGUGGUGGCUCACACCUGUAAUCCCAGUACUUUGGGAGGCCAAGGGGAGUGGAUCACCUGAGGUCAGGAGUUCAAGACCAGCCAGGCCAACAUGGAGAAACCCAGUCUCUACUAAAAAUACAAAAAAAUUAGCCAGACCUGGCGGCACGUGCCUGUAAUCCCAGCUACUCAGGAGGCUGAAGCAGGACAAUCACUUGAACCAGAGAGGCAGAGGUUACAGUGAGCUGAGAUGGUGUCACUGCACUCCAGCCUGAGCAACAGAGUGAGACUCAAUCUCCAAAACAAAACAAACAACAUCUGUGAAGGGAAGAUGGAUUGGGCAGAGAGCGAAAUUGAACUGUGAUGCAGGCCCGAUCAAGUACCCACCAACUCAGUAGGGCACGCAGGAGCUUGAAGCACCCACUGGAAUAUUUUCAUGGAGGACUAAAAUGGCUGGGUCUCUAUGCUCCCACGUAGCUCAGUUCCCAGAGGCAGCUGCCCUGGGGAGGGCAGGGUGUUGGGUGGGGCAGCUCUCUGCAGCUGAGGCAGACCCUGAAGGGCUGACAGCUGGAGGCCAUCUGCCCAGCUCACUCCCGCAGCUGGAUGGAAAGGCCUUCCUGGAAGAAGGGGGUCCGGGCAAUGCAUUUCCACAUCUGCUACACCUAUAUCCCCUGACUCUCAGAGAUCUAGCACCUUGCCUGCAAACUUGAGCCUUCCUCACUACAAGUUAAGCCUUGGCAUCUUUUGCCCAGACUACUGCAGUCCUCACUGGCUCCACCAGCCAUCUCCUCCCACCCCCACCCAUCCUCUGUGUGGUCCACACACAGGUCUGAUCUCGUCACUUGCCAGUGCACGAACACUAAGGGACCUCUGUUGUGGAAAUCAGACUAGUUUCAGAAACUCUGAAGUGGGGCUGUAACCAUUUAGUGAAGCUCUGCACACAGGAAGAGAUGCGGGGAGCAACCUCCACUAAGAGCCAGGGACUCCACCUCACUUCUUAACCUGGGAGUUUUAUGGGUUCAUUUUGAUACAUGAUGUGAUCCAGGGCCUGCACCCGCUUCUAGAAGAAGUUAUCUUGGGAUCCACAGGAGAAAGACUUCGCACUUUUUAAGUAUAUAAACCUGCAGACUAUAUGUGAAUAGUUUUAAGUACAGUAUAUAUCUUAAAAAGGGGCCAGGCACAGUGGCUCACGCCUGCAAUCCCAGCACUUUGGAAGGCCAACCCAGGCAGAUCACGAGGUCAGGAGAUCAAGACCAUCCUGGCCAACAUGGUGAAACCCCAUCGCUACUAAAAAUACUACAAAAAAAAAUUAGCUGGGCAUGGUGGCAUGUGCCUGUAAUCCCAUCUACUUGGGAGGCUGAAGAGGAGAAUCGCUUGAACCAGGGAGUCGGAGGCUGCAGUAAGCCGAGAUCGCACCACUGCACUCCAGCCUGGCAACAGAGCAAGGCUCCGUCUCAAAGAAAAGGGAGGGAGUAACUCCUGGCCAUCAUGGCCAAAUCCCAUCUCUACUAAAAAUACAAAAAUUAGCCAGCUGUGAUGGCAUGCGCCUGUAAUCCCAGCUACUCGGGAAGCUGAGGCACGAGAAUCAUUUGAACCCGGGAGGCGGAGGUUGCCGUGAGCUGAGAUCUCGCCAUUGUACUCCAGCCUGGGUUUAUAUGUAGGAAAAAUUCCUAGAAGUAGAAUUGCUGGACCAAUGGAUAAAAGUAUAUUGUGGACAGACAAUGCCAAGUUUCCUUUCAGAGACUGUGGCCCUGUGCACGCCAUCAGGCAUGUGUGACUACCAAAGCUCCUGUCAGCUGUUUUAUUUUAUCUCCUUUCCAGUCUCAGGAUCAAUGCAGAACUUUGAGGUAAGCUUUUCUAAAAUGUAGGCUCCUAAACGCCACAGCCAGCUCUGCCACAUGAAAGAGAGCUCAAAUGAGACAGAAACAGCCUCUGGGCAGGAUUUCUAUCCUGCACAGAUAUAUUUGCUACAUUCUGGGAAACCGUGAAGCUUCCAGAGCCACAAUUCCCCAGAAACACAUUCCUCUGCUGGUACAGCCAAGCCCCACAACAGGCUGUGCUUGCCUGGCACCUCAAAGCCAAGCACCAUGGAUGCCACUUGCCACGGGUGCCUGCAAUUUCAAAUAAUGAGAAAUAAGAAAUUUCAGCUUCUCAGUCCCUCUAGCCAGCAUUUCAGGUGCAUGACAGCCUCAGGUGGCAAGCAGCUACUCUGCCGGACAGGGCAGAAGAUGGAACGCCCCAUCCCUGGGGAAGAUCACGAGGUCAGGAGAUCAAGACCAUCCUGGCUAACACAGUGAAACCCUGUCUCUACUGAAAAUACAAAACAUUAGCUGGGUGUGGUGGCGGGCACCUGUAGUCCCAGCUACUCCAGGAGGCUGAGGCAGGAGAAUGGUGUGAACCUGGGAGGUGGAGGUUGCAGUGAGCUGAGAUUGCGCCACUGCACUCCAGCCUGGCGACAGAGUAAGACUCUAUAUCAAAAAAGAAAAGAAGAAGAAGGAAAGAGGAGGAGAAGGAGAAGAACAAGGAGAAGAGAGAAGAAGAAGAGACAAGAAGAAAGAAGAAAGAAGGAGAAGAAGGAAAGAGAAGAAGGAAGAAGGGGAAGAAGAAGGAGAAGAAGAAGAACUAAGAAGAAGAAGGAAGAAGGAGGAGGAGGAGAAGAACAAGCAGAAGAAGGAGAGAGAAGAAGAAGAGACAAGAAAAGGAAGAAAGAAAGGAAGAAGGAGAAGGAAGAGGAAGAAAGAAGGAGAAUAAGGAAGAAGGAAAAGAAGGAGAAGGAAGAAGAAGGAGAAGAAAGAAAGGAGAAGAAUGAGAAGAAGAAAAGAAAAAGGAGAGGAGGAAGAAGAAGGAGAAGGAAGAAGAAAGAAGAACUAAGAAGAAGAAGAAAAAGAGGAAGAAGAAGGAAGGAGAAGAGGGAAGAAGAAGAACGAAGGGGGAAGGAAGAAGAAAAGGAGAAGGAAGAAGAAGAAAGAAGGAGAAGAAGAGAGAAGAAGAUGAAGGAAGAAGAACUAAGAAGAAGGAAGAAGAAAAGGAGAGGAAGAAGAAGAAGGAAGGGGAAGAAGGAGAAGAAGACGAACGAAGAAGGGGGAAGGAAGAAGAAAGAAAAGGAGAAGAAAGAAGAAGAAAAAGACGGAAGAAGAAAGAAAGGAGAAGAAGGAGAAGAAGAGAGAAGAAGAAGGAAGAAGAAAAAGGAGAAGAAGGAAGGAGAAGAGGGAAGAAGAAGAAGGAGAAGAAGAUGAAUGAAGAAGGGGAAGGAAGGAGGAGGAGAAGAAGGAGAAGGAAGAAGAAAAGAAGAAGGAAAAGAAGAAAAAGACGAAGGAAGAAGAAAAUGAAGGAGAGGAAGAAGAAGGAGAAGGAAGAAGAGAAAGAAGGAGAAGAAAAAGAAAAGGAGAAGAAAGAACUAAGAAGAUGAAGGAGAAGAAGAAAGGAAAAGAAGAGGAGAAGAAAGAAGAAGAGGAGGAAGAAAUAAAGAGGAAAGAAGAAAGAAUAAGGAAAAAGAAAGAGGAGGAAGAAGAAGAAAAGAAAAAAGGAAGAAGAAAGGAAGAAAAGAGAGAAGAAGAAGAAGAAACAAGAAAGAAGAAAGGAAGAAAAAGAAGAAAGAAAAAGGAAAGAAGAAGGAGAAGAGGAAGAAGAAAAGAAAGGAAGAAAGAGGAAAGAAAAAGAAGAAGGAAAGAAGAAAGAAAUAGAGGAAGAAGAAGUAGAGGAAGAAAAGGAGGAAAGAAGAUAGAAAAAGGAGAAGAAAGAAGAAUAAGGAAGAAGAAAGGAAGAACUUAGAGGAAGAAAGUAGAGAAGAAGAAAGAAUAAGGAACAAGAAGAAAGGAAGAAAGAAGAAAAGAAGAGCAGAAGAAAAGAGGGAAGAGGAAGAAGAAGGAAAGAAGAAAAAGAUGGAAGAAAGUAGAAAGGAAGAAGAAAGGAAAGAAGAAGAGGAAGAAAGAGGAAAGAAGGAAAGAAGAAAAAGAAAAGUAGAGGAAAAAGAGAAGAAAAGAAAAUAAGAAAAGGAAAGAAGAGGAAGAAGAAGAAAGAGGAAGAAAAAGAAAGAAGAGGAAAGAAGAUGGAGGAAAAGAAAAGGAGAAAGGAAGAAGAAAGUAGAAAGAGGAAGAAGAAAGAAGAAGGAAGAAGAAGAAGAACAAGAAGAAAGAGGAAGAAGAUAGAAGAAAAGACAAGAAAAGAGUAGGAAGAAGAAGAAAGAAAAGGAAGAAGAAGAAAGAAAAAGAAGAAAAACUAAUAAGGAAGAAGAAAGAGGAAUUAAGAGGAAAGAAGAAAGAAGAAUAAGGAAGAAGAAAAAGAAGAGAAGAAAGAAGAGGAAAGAAGAGGGAAGAAGAAGAAAGGAAGAAAGAAGACAAGAAAAGAAAAGGAAGAAGAAAGAAAAAAAGAAGAAACGAAGAAUAAGGAAGAAGAAGAACUAAAGAGGAAAGAAGAAGAUAGAAGAAAAAGAAGAAAGAAGAAUAAGGAACAAGAAGAGGAAGAAGAGAGAGGAAGAAGAAAAGACAAGAAAACAGUAGGAAGAAGAAGAAAGAAAAAGAAGAAACGAAUAAGGAAGAAGAAGAAAGGAAUUAAGAAGAGGAAAGAAGAAAGAAGAAUAAGGAAGAAAAGAAAGCAGAAGAGAAGAGGGAAGAAGAAAGAGGAAGAAAAGGAGAAGAGGAAAGAGAAGAAGAGGGAGAAGAAAGGAAAGAAGAAAGGAAGAAAGAAGUAGAGGAAGAAGAAAGAAGACAAGAAAAGAAGAAGAAAGAAGAAACAAGAAUAAGGAAGAAGAAGAGGAACUAAAGAGGAAAGAAGAAGAAGAUAGAAGAAGAAGAAAGAAGAAUAAGGAACAAGAAGAAGAAGAAAGGAAGAAGAAAAGGAAGAAGAAAGAAGAGAAGAAAGAAGAAGAAGAGGGAAGAGGAAGAAGAAAAGAACGAAGAAGAAAGAAAAAGAAGGAGAGAGAAGAAAGAAGAUGAAGGAAGAAGAAGGAGAGAAGAAGAGAAGGAAGAAGGAGAAGAAAGAACAAAAAAAAGGAGAAGGAAGAAGAAGGAGAGGA